GGCCAAGUUAUUAAGGGCGCACGGUGGAUGCCUUGGCACCAGGAGCCGAUGAAGGACGUGGGAGGCUGCGAUAUGCC
rnacentral:rRNA from 1 species